GACGAACGCUGGCGGCGUGCUUAACACAUGCAAGUCGAGCGGUAAGGCCCUUUUGGGGGUACACGAGCGGCGAACGGGUGAGUAACACGUGGGUGACCUGCCCUCAGCUCUGGGAUAAGCCUGGGAAACUGGGUCUAAUACUGGAUAUGACCUUUCCUCGCAUGGGGUUGGGUGGAAAGUUUUUCGGCUGGGGAUGGGCCCGCGGCCUAUCAGCUUGUUGGUGGGGUGAUGGCCUACCAAGGCGACGACGGGUAGCCGGCCUGAGAGGGCGACCGGCCACACUGGGACUGAGACACGGCCCAGACUCCUACGGGAGGCAGCAGUGGGGAAUAUUGCGCAAUGGGCGGAAGCCUGACGCAGCGACGCCGCGUGGGGGAUGACGGCCUCG
rnacentral:rRNA from 1 species